AACGAACGCUGGCGGCAGGCCUAACACAUGCAAGUCGAGCGAAGCCUUCGGGCUUAGCGGCGGACGGGUGAGUAACGCGUGGGAACGUGCCCUUUGGUACGGAAUAGCCCCGGGAAACUGGGAGUAAUACCGUAUGUGGUCGAGAGACGAAAGAUUUAUCGCCAAAGGAUCGGCCCGCGUUGGAUUAGGUAGUUGGUGGGGUAAUGGCCGACCAAGCCGACGACACAUAGCUGGUUUGACAGGAUGAUCAACCACACUGGGACUUAGACACGGCCCGGAAUCCUACGGGAGGCAGCAGUGGGAAAUCUUAGACAAUAGGGGAAACCCUGUUCUAACCAUGCCGCGGGAUCGAUGAAGGCCUUAGGGUUGUAAAGAGCUUUCAGUGGGGAAGAUAAUGACUGUACCCACAGAAGAAGCCCCGGCUAACUCCGUGCCAGCAGCCGCGGUAACAC
rnacentral:rRNA from 1 species